rnacentral:rRNA from 1 species
CACGUAGGGCGCAAGCGUUGUCCGGAAUUAUUGGGCGUAAAGAGCUCGUAGGUGGUUUGUUGCGUCGGCUGUGAAAUCCCACGGCUCAACCGUGGAACUGCUGGGUAUACUGGUUGUCUUGAGCCAGCUAGGGGCGAGCGGAACAGACGGUGGAGCGGUGAAAUGCGUAGAUAUCGUCUGGAACGCCGAAGGUGAAAACAGCUCGCUGGGGCUGCGCUGACGCUGAGACACGAAAGCCAGGGGAGCGAACGGG